UCGAAGAACUUCCGCCCUUCUUUUCCCAUCCUCCUUAUGCAUUCAAGCUCCGCCUCUCUUCCUUUUCGCGUCACUAGUCCCUAGGAGAAUAACUCGUGCGCAUGCGCCCAGGAUUAUUUUCCCACUGGGUUGUCAUUUUUCCGGACUGUAUGGCCAUAUUCCUGACGUUUCGCCAACAUCUAUCGCAGGCACCCUCAGAGUUUGCGAGGACUCAAAGUAGCUUACAACAAAAUGAAAAACAGGUCCAGAUUGAAAACACAAGAAACUAUCAUUUAGAAGACCAAUGAAAGAAGAUUAACAGUAAAGUAUUACAACAGCACAGUGAUUGAACAAUAUAUAGAUGUUAAAAGGGCGGCCAAUGUGCAUCUGAAUUGUCGGAUUUAAGUCAGCAUGGAGUUCACUCCAGUAUCUAUGUGAUGUCCAGUGUGUCGGUGUGUGGUCCUUCUGUACAACAUGACUCCUAUCUUGGAGAUACAAAUGCACCUUGUCUCAAAAGCCAUAAAGUGUCUACAGAAAGCUGAAAGUAAAUUCAGGCUUACUGCCAACUUUCCAAUGGGCUCAGGGCUGAGUCUAACUGAAGAAAAGAACCCAAGAAUGCAGUGCUGGCUAGGUUGAGGGGGGAAAUGGACAGAGACUGAAAUGCAGGUGCAAACAAGAAAACAAGGAUUUGGGAACCUUCUAGAAUGCACCAGAAGCCUGGGUCACUUCUGCUCUGGACAGGAUAUUUUGGGAUAUUUUUGCCCUGGAUACAUAAUGUAGUUGCUGAAUCUUGAGGCCAAUGUCUAGAUCAGGGGCCCCCAAACUAAGGCCCGGGGGCCGGAUGCGGCCCUCCAAGGUCAUUUAUCUGGCCCCGCCCUCAGUUUUAGACUUAGGCUUGCCCAAAGUCUGAAACGACUUGAAGGUAUACAUCAACAACAGCAAUCCUAAUUAACUUGACUAUCUCAUCAGCAAGAAGCAGGCCCACACUCCCCAUUGAAAUCCUGGUAGGUUUAUGUUGGUUAAAAUUGUUCUUAUUUUUAAAUAUUGUAUUGUUCUUUCAUUGCUUUGUUUUUGUUUGUUUGUUUUGCACUACAAAUAAGACAUGUGCAGUGUGCAUAGGAAUUUGUUCAUAUUUUUUUUUCAAACUAUAGUCUGGCCCCCCAACACUCUGAGGGAUCUUGGACCGUCCCUCUACUUAAAAGGUUUGAGGACCCCUGGUCUAGAUGGUUUAAUCUAUCUUCAGAUUGGCCUGUCCCUUUCUUCCUGUGUUGCCACUCUGGUUGGCCACAGUGCUCCCUUUGAAACCUGGCAGUUGCCUACCUUGACUGCUGAGGUCAAAAUGGGAUGCAGAUGGUGGCAUCAAGGAGCAUGAAGAGUGACCCCUUCUUGUUUGUCCUUUCUUGUUUAAAAAACAAAGUACAACCAAGUACUCGAUUUCUUCCUAAUCUUCAGUUUGGAUUGCUACAAAAAUAAAACAGCUUGUAUGACUGAUUGUGUACCAAAUACUAAGUACAAUUUCUGCUAUCUUUUCAUACUGUUUUGCUUCAAAAUGCAAAUCAAUACCAGGAAAAUCAGAUGAAUGGUGGUAGUGUUUAUCUAGAUAAUGGAUUGGGCCAAAACAGAUCAAAUCUUGCUGUCCAGACAGCGGUGAAGUUCCAGAAUAUGCUGGAGGUUUUUUUUGUUUUUGUUUUUUGCAGUGUAUCCCUCAACUUUGCCUAAAGCAGAACAUAUUUGGGUAAGGGUAGAAAACCCGGGGAUACUCAUCAGAAAUCCAUGUGUGUUGUGAAGACAGUCAGUGCUGAAUUUGAGGUGAGCACAGUCCUGAGUAUCUCAGAUCCAAUGCUCUUUUCCUGGAAAUACAGAAUCAUAGAGUUGAAGGAGACCACAAGGUCCAUCCAGUCCAGCACUCUGCCAUAUAGGAGAUCCAGUUAAAGCACUCCUGAGAGUGCUUCUGUUUAAGGAGAAUCCAACACACCAAGACAGCAUAUUCCACUGUUGAACAGCUCUUAUCAUCAGAAAGUUCAUUCUAAUGUUUAAGUGGAAUCUGUUUUCCUGUAGUUUGCCAUUAAUGUCUCUUUUUAGAUAAACUACCAUCCACCAUGAAUGUUCUUCUGUUUUAGUAUUCUUGACCACAGGAUCACACCAGAUAUUUCUCAAAGUUUACUAAAAUCAGCUUUUGUAAAUCUAUAAUGUAUGUCUGACUAUGCUUGGCAUUAGCUUUCCAGAAUAACAUGAGCACUCCCACCUAAGAAUCCUGCCACUACCACCCCGUUAACCAGAUAAUCGCUUUUGGUUACUAUCAGAUUUCAAAGAGAUUAUUCCUUUUUUUUUUUUUUUGCCUCUUCCCUGCAAGGCAAAUGAGGAAUUUGUUGGACAUAAUCUUCUUGCCAGAAUUUCACUUCCAACAAGUGUCAGGGAGGUUGAAAUCUCCCAUUACUGCUACAGCUUUCCAUUUUCAAUGUGUGGUCAUCUGUACUGAGAUUCCUUCUGAGAUUGCUCUUGUUAUUCAGUCUGUUCUUAUGCUUGCCUGCUCUGUUGGCACAUAGCAACUGGAAACUCUGAUGCAACCCAAACUACAACAGUAGCAAUGUGCCCCAUUGGACAUGAGCACCUGGGGUAUGUGUUGAUAUAUGCAGUGUCUAAUUAAGUGUUGGUUUGUCCUUGGCCUGUCUGGCAUGAUCAUGAGCAAGCAGGUGAAACCUGCCAAAUGUCCAGUUGAUUUGCCUGCCACCCACUUUGAAAUCUGGUCUCCAGACUUCAUUUGGUUGCUUUCAUUUCUUGUUAAGUUUUCCUAAACAACGUUGUUGGCAAAUCAGUAAUUUGUUCAAGUACCAGUUUUGCAAGGUCCCAGCAGCAGUAGGAUACAUAUAGCUGUCAAGCAAUACAUAAAAUUACCCAUGAUCUCAAAUAUCCACAUGUGUAUGUCUAGGAAUGUAUCCCCCAUGGAUAUGGGGGUUGUAUGACGGGGUGUGUGAAACGGAAGAAAUCUGUUCUGUUUUUGUUUUGAUUUUGGGUGCCCCCACUAUUCUGUUUUUAGGAAGAUUCCAGGAGAUUUUGGGGGGAUGUUCGGAUUGUUAAUUCAAAAGCCUGAGUUCUGUUUUCAUUUUGGUAGGAUUCGUUCCUUUGUCACCAAUGGGGAAACUUUAGUGGCUCAUUUCUCCGUCAUUUGAUAGCUAUAAGUCUGCCAUGUUUCAUGAUGUUUAGCUCAUCCACUGUUUUUUUGGAAAUUUUAAUUUUUUUAACAAUAACAUUUUUAAAAAACUACAACAAGGAUUUCUGGGAUUUAAAGUCCAAAGCAGCAUGAGCCACAAGAGGGGAGGAGAAUGGACAGAACCAGCUCUUUGGUUAACUGAGAAAUAUGAUGCAGCUGGCUGCAUUCCAGAACAUUCAGGGGGCUCGUUUCUCUGCCAUUUUCAGGGCUAUCAGUUUGAAACAUGCUUCGGUGGCAAAGCGUGUUAAAGCACUGAGCUGCUAAACUUGCAGACCGAAAGGUCCCAGGUUCAAAUCCCAGGAGCGGAGUGAGCGCCCGCUGUUAACUCCAGCUCCUGACAACCUAGCAGUUCGAAAAUAUGCCAAUGUGAGUAGAUCAAUAGGUACUGCUCCAGUGGGAAGGUAACGGUGCUCCAUGCAGUCAUGCUAGCCACAUGACCUUGGAGGUGUCUACGGACAACGCCGGCUCUUCAGCUUAGAAAUGGAGAUGAGCACCAACCCCCAGAGUCAGACAUGACUGGACUUAACAUCAGGGGAAACCUUUACCAUUACCUUUACACUUGUAGGACAUAUUAACAACCAUAAGCCCCCCCCCUCCCCAAGUUUCAGAACAUUUUACUAACCCACUGAUUUUUGGGAAUUUAAAAAAGUAUUUACCAAUAACAUUUUUAAAAAGCUAGCUAUUUUUGGGAUUUGAAGUCCAAAACAGUGUGUGCCACAGGAGGGGUGGAAAAUGGACUGAACCAGCCCUCUGAUUAGCUGAGAAACAUGAUACAGCAAGUGUGGCUUGUUGCUCAGCCUCAUCAUCCCCACCAUGGAGAGACUUCAGCUAGUGUUUGCAAAACAAACAAACGGUCAGAAUACUAAUGAUGAAAAAUAAGUCUGAUUCAAGGAUUAAAAAAAAAUAGCCGAAAGAUUAGGCAGCCUGUUUUUCAUUCUGGGAAGACUCUAAAUGGGUCCUUCCUGGUCUGUUUCUGGCAGCUCGGUUGCUAGAUCUUUGAAAUUAUCCAAAAUCUGAAUCGACCAACAGAAUUAUGCACACCCCUAUUGAGAACUCCUAUUGGUUUCCAUGGCUGAAAAACAUCUUUUUUUAUUUGUCACACACUCUCCCAGCCUCAGAGGAAGACAAAAGCAACCCCCUUCUGAACAAAUCUUGCCAAGAAAUCCCUGUAAUAGCUUGUCAUAAGUUGACAUAAGUUUUAAACAACUUGAAGGAACACAACAAUAAUAUGUUCCCUUUCGUGGACUUAGCACAGUUAUGGAGUGGGGUGAGGAAGGAGAGAGGCUACAGCCCUUGAGCUUUUGAGGUUGUAAGGAUAGUCAAACAGAAACACUCACUUCAUUUAUUUGAAUGAGUAAUGGUGAAAUCAUUAAAUAAAUUAUCUGCCAAUGUUUAUUUCAGUCUACCUCAUGUAUUCUCCUUUUGAACAUGUUGCUCCAACACACUUUUUUCCCCCUAGAAGAGACAAAAAGAGAGAAAGAAAUUAAAUCCAACCUCACUCUCCAGCACCUAGUGUUAUUGUAAUGCUAUAGUAGAGAUCUAAAAUAUACAGAAAGUCAGAAUAUGUUUUUUUUUUUUAAAUUAUGACUCUCAUGGGCCCCGUAGCUCAGCCCUACAGUACAUAUGUUGUAUAUUAAGGUAGUGGUUCACAAUUUGUUUUUGUUGGAAAGUCCUUUGGGAUAGAUAGCAGGUGGGCCUCCCAUUUUCCUCUCAUCUGGAGCUAUCUUCUGGAGUGAGUAAAAGCAAACUGGAAUGCUGUGGGAGCAAAGAAACAGAAACUCAGAAGCAAGGAGGCAUGUCUGACUAUGGCUCUUCCCCCCACCUUCUGUGAAGCUAAAUUUGAGUCUCAUUCUACCUCCCACAUGGUGCAUUGUAAUAAACACAAUGCUGAUCAAGAUAAAGUUGGGGCUUGAACCUUCAGUACUUUGUACUGAAGGUCUGAUGUCUGCUCAAUUUAUCCUCUGUUGCUUCACUUUCUCUGCAAUGUUUAAAAUGCUUUGGUUUUUCUAUUCCGUCUUCAUCAUCUCCACCCCUUUAUUCUCAGCUUGCUGUAAACUGAGUUUAAAGUGCAAAAGUAGUUGACUUAGGACUUCAUCAGAUGGAGCUGUGGAAAACGGGGGGAAGCGAAGGAAAUCUAGUUUAGAAUUGUCUUCUUUGUGUGGGAUUCUGUCUUUUAAAAAGAUGGAAAAUGUAUUUACCCCAUCACACAGGAUUGCCUCCUCCUGCCUCUAGUUCAACUAGAGGAGAAAGAUGGCAUCAUUCUUAAGGCAGACCCCCUUCUCUGGGCUCCUCUCCUUUCCCUUCCAAUCGCCUUAAUCUUAAUCGCAGUAGUCAGAUACCUACUAAGCACUAGAACUUACUGUAGGGUGGUGGUGGUGGUAAGGAAAACAAAGUUAAAAAGCACAAUUUCAGAAUGACUAUGAAGGAGGAAUGAGAGGAAAACAAAGUGGUGAUAUCUUGAAAUUGCAGUAUUUCUAAUGUUUAAUUUAUUUAAAUGAAAGUACCAUGCCAUAUUUAUGAAACAGGAUUUUGGGAGUCAAAUGUCAAUGCUUGGUAGGAGACUGCCCAUAGGAACACCCAUUACUCCACAUUAAUGAAACAAUUCAGCAUGGGCAAAUUGGACAGAUCCUAUCCUACCCACCCACCCACCUCUCCACACAAGCGUUUCUAAAUACAGUAGAGUCUCACUAAUCCAAGCCUCGCUUAUCCAAGCCUCUGGAUAAUCCAAGCCAUUUUUGUAGUCAAUGUUUCCAAUAUAUCGUGAUAUUUUGGUGCUAAAUUCAUAAAUACAGUAAUUACAACAUAACCUUACUGUGUAUUGAACUACUUUUUCUGUCAAAUUUGUUGUAUAACAUGAAGUUUUGGUGCUUAAUUUGUAAAAUCAUCACCUAAUUUGAUAUUUAAUAGGCUUUUCCUUGAUCAGUCCUUAUAAUCCAAGAUAUUCGCUUAUCCAAGCUUCUGCCGGCCCGUUUAGCUUGGAUUAGUGAGACUCUACUGUACUUCUAAAAGAGAUGUUUCAUCAAAGAACUGUUUUAGAAGUGUUUAAAAAUUGGGGUGGAGGGAAUGCUUGUGAAUACAGGCUAGCCUUCUGCAUGCUCCCCUGUCAGUUUUGUUUUUCAGCUUCUGAUUGACACCCUGACACUUGACCUCGGGUUUGCUAGUCAACCAUGAUGUCUCAGCUCUCUGUGUGAAUUAUGACAUUGACAUUAUCACAAAUCUUUUUUUAAUUCCAACAAUAAUGACAGUCUGCAUAACACCAGGGAAACAUUUCUAAUAAUGUGCUCAUGUCUUAUUGAUGGCCAGAAUUGUCACUACAUUUCAGUUAAAGUGAAAUUUGAAACAAAUGUAGGGUGCACUUAUUAUUUAAUGAAGUGUAAGGGGUGCCAAGAGUUGAUAAUAUGGAUGCUGUUUCCUAGAAAAGUUUUGCACAUCCUUUAUUUUAAUGGUUCUCAGACUCUGGUUCUCCAGAUGUUUUGGAUUUCAGUUUCUAGAAGCUCCAGCCAGGAGGGACACUACUCAGGAAUUCUGGGCGCUGAUGUUCCAAACAUCUGGAGGACCAGGUUCUGACAACCACUGCCUUCAUUCAUACCUCCUUAACUGAAAUUCAAAACUCUUCCCUGAUGUAAACACUUGAAGAAUUUCAUGAAAAACUACAAGUGUUUCAGUAUGGCAAUUGAAAUAUUGCAUUAAUGGUACUCCAUGUUGCAUUCAUGGUACCCUAUGUUGUAUGUUUCUGUAUGUGGAAUGCGCCAGUAUGGUGUAGAGCUUUGAACACUGGACUAAGAAUCCUGGGAGAUCAGAGUCCAAAUUGCCAUUCAGCCAUGGAAGCUUUUUCAAUAAAUCACCUUCUCUCAGCCUAAAUAGGAAGGCAAAGGACAAAUCCCCCCUUAAAAAUGUUACCAAGAAAGAAGGAGUUAAUUUGAAGGCACACAAUAACAAUAAAUAGGAAACACGGUACCCUAUUUCAUACAUUUGGAAGGACUUUUGUGCUUUUAGUUGAUAUGUGAAAGAGGCAGCACAGCAGCUGAAACUUCAUCCCUCACUUGUCAAGGGUUCUGAUGUACAUUUGACCUCCUGCCAACUAAAUGGGACAGCUGUAUUAAUAGAAAAAUAGUGGAGCAAGGUUGAGUCUGUCAAUCAUAAAGUGAAAGUACUAAGUGACACUAGUAAACAUCAUAUUAGCUAUUAGUGCCAAGACUCAGAAUGUUGGCAGUCUUCCAAGGAGUGUGGGUUCAUUUAUUUAUUUUUGUAAUGAAAUACUGUAUGAGAAAAAAUGUAGAAGAUUGUAAAAUAAGCCUGUAGUUCAGAUAUUGUUUAUAAUUACUGCACGUAAGAUAUUCAGGAAAUAUUGCCAUAGGAAAGAAUGAGAGAGAGAUUUUGCAAAUGUUUUCUUUUCAGUGCUUAAAUAAUUCUUAUCUGUUAAAGUUGUACAAUUUAUUAUUAAGAAAGCCAUAAACCAUUUGUUAACUGUUUGUGGGCUGAAGGCUUAAAACAAAAUGUCCAAAUCAGUUGGAAUGCUUCAUUAGCUAUAAUAGCGGUUUAAUUAAAUACUGCUUUCUCUUUGGGUUGCCGUGAGUCUUUCAGGCUGUAUGGCCAUGUUCCAUAAGCUUUCUCUCCUGAAAGCUUUUGGAACAUGGGCAUACAGCCCAAAAGAUUCACAACAACCCAGUGAUUCCGGCCAUGAAAGCCUUUGACAACACAUUGCUUUCUCUUUGUUUGUUUUUAUGCUAAUAAUGUAAAUUAACCCCUCAGUGCUGUUGAUGGGACAUGGUUAUUUUCUUCUCUUAAAUGUCAAUUUUAUAUGUGGGCAAAUGGUCCAAAAUCUCAUAAUAUGUGUAUGUUGGUGGCAACUACUCACUAGAAAACAUUAAUAGAGAUGGGUGGGGGAAGCACAAUGUACAGAAGAGCAUUACUCUAUAGGUGUCUUUCAACAAAUAAGUAACUCUUCCAUGCCAACUGAGAUAUUUAAUAGAAAACCUUCUUGGCUCUACAAGGUCAGGGCAGGAGCCUGAUUUGCCCCAAGUAAGACUUAUAAAGGCUCAGACCAGUGGCAAUGUGCUCCUAAUGCCAACAGGGCUCUAUCUGAGUCUGAAGAUCAUAGGUAGACAAGAAGGAGUAACAGCAUCACAAUCAAGACAGAGGCAGCCCUUGAGACCAAAGGCAAGCAGAGAAGACCUCCCUGCAAAACCACUAUUUGGUACCAUUUUGAUGUGGGAGCAGAUCCAAGGAUUGCUAUAAGGCUUCACUACACAUAGGAAGUGAGCAGGGGUAAAUUGCCAGAGCAACAUGGCACCAGCAGCCUCCUCAAGCACUUUAAGAAGUAGAAUCAUAGAGAUGGAAGAGAUACUAGCAUAGAGAUACUAGCAGAGAUCACCUAAUGCUGUAAGGGGCAUAUGAAGGAUUUGCUAGGAUUUCUAUGCACGUGUUAUUGAAUACAGCUCCCAUGUGUUCUUAAAAUCAGUGGUUGCAAAGGUGUUCAAUGUAAAUUCAGGAAAAAUGUGUUCUCCAUUCAAUGCAGGGUGUGCUAAAUUUAAUUUUUACUCAGAUAACAUUUUUUUAAUUAGACUUGGUGUUAAUUAUUUACGUCCUCACCAGACGGCCUCAUCAGACGAACUGGUGGUGGAGGUGCCCCGGUUUGUAUAGGGGCAUGGGCAAUCUGGCAUCUCAUGCCCCACAUCUCCCAGGCCCAACUGAGGACAUACGACUUCCCCCCAUAGAUUGUAUGGCAACACAGGAGCUCUCUCAUGUUGCCCUGCUGAGCUCUGCCCUCCUUCACUCACAGACCUAGCACGGCUGUGAUGGGAGCCAGCCAGAUCUGUGGAUGAUCUGGGUGAAAAUUGGUGCAUGUUGCCAAUUUUAGCCCUUUGUGAUGGCAUGGUUAAAUAACACAUGCUGAGAAACAAAAGCUGAUUUUUAUGUGUCGUCCUUUUUGGCCCUUGUGACAGCAUUGUGAGGGAUCUGGGAUGCUCCUGACCUGGCAAUCAUAUCCAUGCAAAGAAAACCAGACAUAGACACCUCCAAUAUUUUGUAUGAAACUUAGGUUCUUAGAUGUCUUCAAGGAAAACUCUACCCAGUUUUCCUGAAAAUAAAACCUACCCCGAAAAUAAGCUUUAGCAUGAUUUUUCAGCAUUUUUGAACCUUACUUCAAAAAUAAACACAGUUUAUUAAAAGCCCUCAAAAUAAGCCCGAAUGCAUCUUUUGGAGCAAAAAUUAAUGUAAGAUUUUGUCUUAUUUUCAGGGAAAUGGGAUACACAUUGCUGAAAUAUAGUUAAGAUGUUACCAGAACAUGGAUAACUUUGGCCAAAUUACUUCUGACCAAGAGAUGUUCUAACUGUAGUCAUAGCUUUCUGUGAGAAUUUCCCUGCUGCAACAAUUUUCCCAGUGUCUUUAAUAUUUUUGAUAGAAAUGUUAUUCCAGGUACAUAUUGAAGCUGAGGGGUGAUUACAAUAAAAGGAAUUGUAAGAGGCUUUCUAGAACUGGGGUCAAACAUGACAUCUCCAUAAAUCAUUGGUAACCUUAACACAGACAGUCUUAUAGAAACUUUCCUGUCUGAGGUAGUAUAUACAUAGGUUAAAAUAUUCCUUUCAUAUUUAUCUUUCACUCUGAGGCUUGCAGAAACCAAAUUUCUGUCAUCAAUAAUUAUUAAUCUUCCAUUUCACUCUAGAGGGAGUUUUAAUAAAGCAGCAAGCACCACAUUGGGACAGGAACGGGUCAAAGGGAGAGAAGAUGUGAUCCAAAUAUACAAAAUGAAAGCAAAAAAUAAUAUAAAAUCCAAAUAUAUAAAAUUGAAGGGGGAAAAAAGAAAGAGAGCUCAGCAUAACAUCUGUGUGCCACAUGUACAUAAAUCAUGAUGGGAUUCUAAACAUUUCUUAUUUCACCUAUGUGUAACUUGGGUUUUCUAGUUAAUAAUAUACUAAAAACAUUAUUAUUUGCUUUAGUUUGAAGUGACAUUUGAUCAAGUCUAAAACAGAACUUCUGCAAGCCUUAGCUGCAAAUGUGGAAAUUAUAAGAGUCUUUCAGAACUGGGAACGAGGGAAAGGGCUUUUCAUUUUCAUUCGAUAGAAUCUAAAGUGUAUGACUGCUCUUCCAGCAGUCACCAGCCAAUCCCUCUGCAAUGCCUGAAAUACACUUAAUGGUGUAAUGUUAGAAAAAGUUGACCAUUUCCGCUACCUUGGCAGCCAUCUUUCCACAAAAGUCAAUAUUUUCACUGAAAUAGAACACCGCCCUGGGCUCUGCGAGUGCAGCAUUUUUCCAAAUGAAGCAGAGAGGGUUUGAGGAUCAGGACAUCCGUAGGGAUGCCAAGGUGCUUGUUUGUAAAACUAUUGUCCUCCCAACCCUGUUAUAUGCAUAUGGAACGUGGACUGUUUACAGACAUCACACUCAACUCCUGGAAUGAUUCCAUCAGCGUUGACUCUGAAAAAUCCUGCAAAUCUCUUAUGAAUGUCAAUGUCAAUGUUCUGGAAGAAGCAAAAACCACUAGCACUGAAGCGAUGCUGCUACGCAGUCAACUUCGCUGGACUGACCACAUUGUCUGAAUGCUCAACCACAGUCUCCCAAAGCAGUUACUUAGCUCCCAACUCAAGAAUGGCAAACAGAAUAUUGGUGGAUAGGAAAAGAGAUUUCAAGAUGGUCUUAAAGCUAACCUUAAAAACUGUGGCAUAGACACCAAUAACUGGGAAGCCCUGGCCCUUGAGCGCUCUAGCUGGAGGUCAGCUGUGACCAGCAGUGCUAUAGAAUUUGAAGAGGCACGAAUGGAGGGAGAAAGGGAUGCUUGUAUAAGGACCAAAAAGGAGAAAGAAACAUACAUUUAUUAUCUCUGAUCUUAGGACAAGAAAGGAGAUAGACUAAAGUAGUUUGCCUAAACUUGGUUUCAAGUUUAUUAUAUUUAUUUAUACCCCACUUUAUCUCCCCAAAGGGGACUCAAAGUGGCUUGACAUAAAAGCAUUGGUAUCCAAUUUAAAAUAUACUAAUAUACAAACAUUAAAACAGAAUUAAAUGCAAACAGCAUUUAAAAAUUCAGUUUAAAUCCAUCAAAACAUAUUCAAAGUUAAAAACCAUAGCAUCCCCUAACUAGAUCUUAAACAUCUUCAUCUUUAAAUGCCUACUUGAAUAAAAAGGUUUUAUAAAGUUGGUUCUUCUAUAAGUCUGUAAGGUAGCAACCACUAUUUUAGUUGGAGAGCCAUUGAUGCUGUGUUCCUUCUUGAAGAAAGGGGAAAUGAUAUCUGCAGUGAAGAACGAAGCAAAAUGAAACAAAGGGUAUUAAAUAGGGUAACAGAACUGGAUUCCAUUGAAUCUUGGAAGCUAAGCAGGGGUCAGCCCUGGUUAGCAUUUAGAAUGAGAGACCAUCAGGGAAUACCAGGUGCUAUGUUACAGAGUAAGGUAAUAGCAAACCAUCUUUGAGUAUUCCUUGCCUAAGAACCUCCUAUGAAGUUGAUGUGGCCACCACAAAUAAGCAACUUGAGGUACACACAAUACAGAAAAGUGAAAUAAAGGGAAAGCAUUAUCAGGACUCAACAGUUUCACAAAUCACUUGAUACAAAUGUUGAUGCUUCCAACAAUGUUCUCUAAAAAUUGGCUAGAUAGUUAAACAUUUCUAAGGGCAUGCCCAUGCAUUUCAAUGGGGAAUAUGAGAAAGCAAACUAGUAUACUGUAUCUCUGCCAUUUAAAUAUACAAAUCAUGCAGAUUUUGUGUUUAACUCACCAGAGCUGCAUCCUAAAAGACAUGCUGAGUUUGAAAUUAGAUAGCUAUUAAUUAUAAAAUUUGUGAAAGUUGAAAUGAUAUAGAAGAUCAUCUGGGUCUUAAUCCAUUUGUUACUUCCAAAUAGAGUUGUUGAGUACCUUCAAGUCACUUCCUGCUUAUUACAGUCUUAAGGCAAACAUACCAGGGUUUUUCUUGGCAAUAUUUGUUCAGAGGGAUCUUGCUUUUCUCUGAGGUUGAGAGAGUGUGACUUGUCCAAAAUCACCAGUGCGUUUUCAUGGCUAGGCAGAGAUUCCAACAUGGGAGUUGUAGUUCAGUGCUCAAACCACUGCACAUGUUGGCUAUUAUAGGUCCCACUAAAUCAGGAGUCUUUUAACUGUUGAAUCAAAGGGCCAGUUCACAGUCCCUCAGACUAUAGUGUGAAAAACAUGAAAGAAAAAUACAAUAUUUAAAAUGAAGAAUUUUUUUUAAUCAACAUAAACUUACCAGUAUUUCAAUGCACCAUGUGGGCCUGUUUUUGGCUGAUCAGGUAGUGAAGUUAAUUAGGAUUAUUGUUGUUGUUGUCUUCAUUCUUUUCAGACUUAUGGCAACUCUCAGCCUAAAGUUUAGUGCGAGGGACAGGUAAAUGCCCUUGGAGAACCGCAUCCAGACUGCAUACCUUAAUUUGGGGACCUCUGCCCUAAAUCAAUAAAACCAUGGUAAAUCAACACUAUAGUGACAAUGACUCAAUGAGUUUACUCUGGAUGGAAAUGUUAUGGUUGAGCCUUAUGGCUCCAAUACUGGGAGACGUGGUCGUAAGACUCCUCGAGAGUCAGACUCUCUUGAGGAGCGAGAGAGGAAACGGCUGCGGGACUUAUUUGCAGAACCAACUGACGAAGACUCCUUUGAGGGUUUUACCGAGGGAAUGGAGGAAGAGGUGGUUAGCUCAGAGGAGGAUGACAUGGAAUGGACUCGUGUGAGGGAGGAUUUGGGUGUUCCUGGUAAUGAUAGCAUGGGAAGCGACUGGCAGGUUGCAGGAUCGGACCCGUGGACGAGUUGGAGGGAUGGAACGGGAUCCACAGCUGGGGAUGCUGUGGGGCGUAGUCAAAGAUGUUUUAGCUCUGAUGAGGAUGAUGAUGAUGAGGCACCUGGAAUUAGGGUAACAGCUGAUAGCGAUGAGGAGUUGUAAACUGGCAUAAAAUGGGGUCUUGAAUUCAGGGCUAAUUGCGUUGGGCAAGGUAAUCUGGACGAACGCUUGGGCUCUUGUUGGGAAUUUCCUGAAGACGGGUGUGUUUCGUUUUCUGAAUACGUAAGUUACCAAGGACACUGGGCAUAGACGGCGGGAGGAACUGUGUGGGCUUUUGUUGUGCAACCUGUGUUUAAUCUUAUUAGCUUGGACCUCCGUCGUCUUCUUGACGGACAUUAAUUGCCUAUUCUGGAUUGACGCUGGACUGACUGACUACGACCUCGGACUACCCCUUCUGUGGCUUUCGGUGGAAUUGGUGAACCAAAGACAUCUGUACCUGGCUUUCGACCUCGGACCGGACUGGGACCCUGCUGACCGUUGCUACCCUGAUUGAAGCGCUUGGAUCCGGAUUCUGUUUGUUGCACGGAGGAGUAACAACCUUAGUUACUCAUUUGCAGCUUUCGAAGUAGCAGAGAGGAAUCUGCUGCCAGCUUUUUAUGUUUCUUUGAAUCUUUGUUUAUCAGCUUUUGUUUGUUCUAAUUGCCAGGCUGAAGUAAGCAUUUUCUGUUUAACCCGGAUUAAACUCCUGUUUAAUCCGGUUUAUCUUUUGUACCGCUUUUAGUAUCAGCGGAGUCUUUUUGUGUAUUUUUACACUGAAGGCAAGUGUUUGCCUAGUCCUUUGUUUCAUACGGGCGCUUUUUAGUUCUGUAACUUUAAUAAACUGUGUUGAACUUUA